rnacentral:sRNA from 1 species
UGCAACGAAAAAGACCGGACGAUACCCCUG